CUGUACAGGAAAAGACAGUACAGGAAUACAACAACAUGUCGGAUUAUUUCCCUGCGAUGGACCUUCACGUUGCCCUAGCCGCUCUAAUUUAUAUCCAAGAAUCAUUUCGGCAAUUGUCA